rnacentral:miRNA from 2 species
UUGUAGUAACGUGAUGGUCAAUGU